GGUUCAGAUUGAACGCUAGCGGGAUGCCUUACACAUGCAAGUCGAACGGCAGCACGGACUUCGGUCUGGUGGCGAGUGGCGAACGGGUGAGUAAUGUAUCGGAACGUGCCUAGUAGCGGGGGAUAACUACGCGAAAGCGUAGCUAAUACCGCAUACGCCCUACGGGGGAAAGCAGGGGAUCGCAAGACCUUGCACUAUUAGAGCGGCCGAUAUCGGAUUAGCUAGUUGGUGGGGUAACGGCUCACCAAGGCGACGAUCCGUAGCUGGUUUGAGAGGACGACCAGCCACACUGGGACUGAGACACGGCCCAGACUCCUACGGGAGGCAGCAGUGGGGAAUUUUGGACAAUGGGGGAAACCCUGAUCCAGCCAUCCCGCGUGUGCGAUGAAGGCCUUCGGGUUGUAAAGCACUUUUGGCAGGAAAGAAACGUCGUGGGUUAAUACCCCGUGAAACUGACGGUACCUGCAGAAUAAGCACCGGCUAACUACGUGCCAGCAGC
rnacentral:rRNA from 1 species